CGGAGAGACUGGUUAGGGUGGGACCUGGAAGAGGGGUGAAGGCUGGAUUAUGGGAUUAGAUAGCUCCAGUUUCCCUUGGCAUCUACUCCUACUUCUGAGGGAGGGGCAGACUGAACCCAUCUGAAGCCUGUCCUGGAACACGGUUGCUGAGUGAUGAGUCCCACUGCACACAGUGCUUCACUCGGUUUACUAAAGAGGAGCUUAAGGACCACCUGGGUGAGUGCUGAGGCAGAGACCCUCAGACCAUCCGUGAUCAGAGGAGGAAGGAGAUGAGCUUACCAGUCAGCCAGCCUCAAACCCUUCUGCAAGAGCUCUGCAUUAGCAAACCAAGCUGGUUCCAAGCAUCCCCUUCCUCACAAGCGGUAAGUAGGAAGGAUUUCUGAUGACUGUUGGAAAGAAACCUCGUUUUCUUAGAAGAGACUUGCUACCAAGGAGAAGCUAUAGUUGUCCUCUGUAAAGAUGAAUGAAGAAGAAUCUUGGAAUCUAGAAUUUUGGAUGUCCCUGAUGCUAAGAUUUGGGGAGUCAGAUUCUCAGAUGCUUAUUCUAGUACUAAAAUUUGUUUCUAAGUGUCAAAGGAAGUCUCAUCUUGAAGAAUUGCAAAAUGACAGUUCAUGAAUGGAAGUGCGCUGAUGUCUACCACCUAUUUUGAAAUGUAUCAAAAGCCAGAUGAAUCGGAGGAAGGAUCAGAGAAUGUACAGACGGAUAGGUGGAGUAAUAAAGCAAGUGGAGUAAUGCUGACCAUAGCAUCUAGGUAGUGGUUCACUGUAUGAUUCUUUCAACCUUUCUGUAUAUCUCCAAACUAUGGAAAAUGUUAGGAGAAUACGAUGCCAUUCACUUCUGUCUCUUAGUGGAGACAGCUGAUUCCCUUGGAAGAGUUGAGAUUUUUCUCUCUCUCUUUUUUUUUUUUGAAGAUUUUAUUUAUUUAUCAGAGAGAGCACAUGCACAGCGGGGGG